UACGACCACAUCACGUUGACAACACCGAUUUCCAUAAGAUCACCAAAGUUAAACAUCAUCGAGCCUUGUCAAUACCCAGAUGGGUGACCUUUUGGGAAUAUCAGAUGCUGUAAU